AGAGAGAGAGAUAGAGAGAGAACGAUCUCCCUCUUUUUCUUCUGAUAAGGGCGCUUAUUCUAUGAGAUUAGCACCCCGCCCUUAUGACCUCAUAAUUUAACCUUACUUAGCUCCUGAAAGCUCUGUCUCCAAUACAGUCACACUGGGGGUUAGGGCUUCAAUGCCAGAAUUUUGGGGGACACCCUUCAGCCCACAACACCAUCCUACAGCACAGGACAUGGGAAUGGAAGUGCGUCCCUGUCAGUUUUGCCAAGGGAGGAACUUGUAAUUUCUUUGAAAAUUUACCAGAUCGUUAAAGGUCAUUCAAGGACUAUUCAAGGACUUAAAGCCAACUAAGGGGACUGGAAACGAUAUUGAAGCUGACCUGGAAGGCCACAUGCUGGCUGCUGAUACCACAACUCUGUCAGAGAAGUGGCUGUGGGUCCCCAGCACAGUGUGACACCGAUAACGACCGAUAAAAACAAAAUAAAGACAUUAGUGAUUAUAAUUUCA